rnacentral:tRNA from 1 species
UCCCAGGUGGCUUAGUGGUAAAGAAUCUGCCUGCAAUGCCAGAGACCUGGGUUCGAUCCCUGGGUUGGGAA